rnacentral:rRNA from 2 species
AACGCUGGCGGCGUGCCUAAUACAUGCAAGUCGAGCGGACAGAUGGGAGCUUGCUCCCUGAUGUUAGCGGCGGACGGGUGAGUAACACGUGGGUAACCUGCCUGUAAGACUGGGAUAACUCCGGGAAACCGGGGCUAAUACCGGAUGCUUGAUUGAACCGCAUGGUUCAAUUAUAAAAGGUGGCUUUUAGCUACCACUUACAGAUGGACCCGCGGCGCAUUAGCUAGUUGGUGAGGUAACGGCUCACCAAGGCAACGAUGCGUAGCCGACCUGAGAGGGUGAUCGGCCACACUGGGACUGAGACACGGCCCAGACUCCUACGGGAGGCAGCAGUAGGGAAUCUUCCGCAAUGGACGAAAGUCUGACGGAGCAACGCCGCGUGAGUGAUGAAGGUUUUCGGAUCGUAAAACUCUGUUGUUAGGGAAGAACAAGUACCGUUCGAAUAGGGCGGUACCUUGACGGUACCUAACCAGAAAGCCACGGCUAACUACGUGCCAGCAGCCGCGGUAAUACGUAGGUGGCAAGCGUUGUCCGGAAUUAUUGGGCGUAAAGCGCGCGCAGGCGGUUUCUUAAGUCUGAUGUGAAAGCCCCCGGCUCAACCGGGGAGGGUCAUUGGAAACUGGGGAACUUGAGUGCAGAAGAGGAGAGUGGAAUUCCACGUGUAGCGGUGAAAUGCGUAGAGAUGUGGAGGAACACCAGUGGCGAAGGCGACUCUCUGGUCUGUAACUGACGCUGAGGCGCGAAAGCGUGGGGAGCGAACAGGAUUAGAUACCCUGGUAGUCCACGCCGUAAACGAUGAGUGCUAAGUGUUAGAGGGUUUCCGCCCUUUAGUGCUGCAGCAAACGCAUAAGCACUCCGCC